CUCAGGUUGAGAGUGUACCUGCUGGCACUUCUGGCACCUGAACGUCCUGCUGUUAACCUCCGCAGCCUCUGAACCCCUUUUCUGGGGAGGUCGUACAGAUGGUUAGAAAUGUGUGCAGCUUUUGGAAGUGAAACAUGACUGGAAGCUCUCGUUUUCCUUCUGGAGGUGACCAAGCACGAACUGGAUACUCUACCCUGGGUGGCAGAACAGUAUCGACCUCAACACUUACGGAGGGGGCACUGGGCACUCCAAGUUCACAUUUUCCCCUCAUUCCACCCACUCCUUCCGCCUUCAGUAUCUGAUCCUGGACUUGCUGGAAUCUCGCUGAAGUUCUUAUUCCACUCAUCCAUUACAGAUAUGCUGCAAUAUCUGACGUGUUAGAGAUUUUUGAUUUAUUGGACUUCAUACCUGGAUCAACCACCUUCUUGCAUGUCUCCAAUGCUGGAGACCCUUGUGACUCAGUCCCUCUCGCUUUCUGUACUCUCUUUCUAGGUGACCUCAUCCAUGCUCAUGGCUUCAAUUACCAGCUAUGCAAAUCUUUCCAGAAUUCUAUUCUAACUGCCAACUUAACAUUUCCACUUUUCCAGGCUUCUUAAAUUAACAUGUCUUUUUACAAGGAUGGUUGUAGAUUUUUCUGCAGAGAAGUUGUAGUUCAUAGCCACACAAGAGUUCCAGCAACAUCCCUGGGUAGUCUUUGUCCUAAUGAAGAAUAACAGAAUCUUGGGGGAGAAAUUGUGGAUGGGAAUGCUACUGACGAUGGAUGCUCUGAUCACGGACAUGCCACCCCAGAGUUAAUUUUCUUCCUUUAAUCAAGCUGGGUUUUGGUGCCUGAGGAAAUACUAGAGUAUCUUGAGGCACCUCCCGUUCAAAAUCUCCACACUUCUGAUAUCUCUAGCAUAAUCCACAGAAAUGGCAAUAAAAGUGAGAGGAUAGACGCAUAAAGAGAAAAAAACUCUGGCCAGAGUUCCAGGUACCUUGUGUGGAAACAGCUGGGUAAGCAGUGAUUUUGAGGCAUUAGCACACCUCUUUUGGACAUCAGUGAGAGUUUUGAAAGCAUUCAUCUUCUGUACUCAAAGUGAAGCCAGAUAUAACAUUUGGUAAAGAGCAAGCGUCUAGUACAGUGUUGUGGAUGCAUUCCGCCUCUCCCAAAUUUCCACGUAUGAUCAAAUGUCUGCUCUACUGUUUCUUAACCAACAUCUCAAGGAAUCAGCAACAACUUUUCAACUUGUCUACUAUGAAUGAAAAGCAUCCCUUUGUUCUAAAAAAACCUUUCUUUCCAGAUAUGUGGCAUCACGGAAACAUAAAUUACAUACUCAAACGUCCUGAUCUGAUUCUAUGGAGAGAAUUGUAAUCAACACAUUCACAAGUCAUUGAACAGCAUGAUUUUUCAGAACAUAUCUUAGAGCUCGGAAUCCUCACCCAGAGUUCAGUUCUCAGGGUGCAUAUAUUUUUCUUUAGGAAGUCAUCUAGAAAGACAAAACUGCAGAUUUUCUCCGCGCUGCCUUGGGAAAGGCGCUGGCUGUUCUGGGGCAGAGAGAGCGAGGCAGGAAGGCAGGGAAGGCAGGGUGGCUGGCGCUGCGGAGUUUUAUUUGGAAAUGAAUUUCAGCCAAAUAACAAGACUGAGUGAUUUGAAGAUCAUUCUUUCCUUCAUCCUCCACUCAAAUUAAACAAACAACAUUUUUCUGUCCCUCCGUCUCCUGUAGGCUUUUUGUAUGCAGCAAAGUUGUGCACGGUGUCUUUGAUUUUAAAUAUUUCGCCAAAAAUAUGAAUGCGUUCAUUUUUUUUUUCUCUUCCACGAGUGAGAUGUUUCCAUAAGUCCUGGAAAACAGACAUAAAUUUGGGACACGAAGGCAGAUGAAGACGUGUUCUUCAUCCCUCUCUUCUCCUCCACUUCUUGAAAAGGACAGUCCCUCCCAUCAGAUCCUACCUGAGCCAGAUCCUACCCACCACAUGAUGCCUAACUGCAGUCGCGCCUUCCCCAGGAGGGAGCCUUUCUUCGUGAGUCCGGGACACUCCAGUGGCGGUGAGCGUGGAUAUCCACCACGUGUUUCCUGGGUGCCACGCCCAGGCCAGUCACAGCAUUUAAUGCUCACUGUAACCCACGAGGCAGUACCACAUCAUCUUUGCUUUUCAGAUGUGUAAACCGAAGCUCCAAGGUUCCAGAAGUUGCGCAUUGUGUCAAGGCCUUACAGAGCCAGAGUCUGAAGCCCGUGACAAGGGAGGUCAGCUCUUCCCUCUCUCCAGUGCCUCUGUCCACCACGGCAACCUCCUCAUUAUUUCUUUAAUGCUUACCCUUAUGCUUCCAAGUAGACCAUGAAGCCCUUGAAGACAGUUCUUGUCUUGGGCUUUCUUUGCAUCCAGGAUACUAUAUCACAAAAGGAUAUGUGCCUGAAUGUAUCAGAAAUGCCAACUGAUUGAGAUUAAAGGUCAAAGGGGGAUAUAUAAAACCAGAGACUCAAAAUAACAGGAAAGAAAACCUUAGGAUAAAGGAAUCAAGGUGAAGAAGGAUAAACAUGCAAGUUCGGGGGAAAAAAAAGCUAAUCCAACUUGCAUUUUCUGUUAGCCAGUGGCAGAACAUUUAACUGCCAGCCACUGACAGGGCUUGGAAAAGCCAUCAAUGGGAAAGUAGCCAAAACACUGCUCAAGCAUGGGUGGCCACCAACAGUGAAAGAGGGGAGAAAGAGAGAGAGAGAGUCUCCAUAUGCACACUCUCACAUGACGUUCCAGCGAUCUACUCUUCCAAGUGACCACGACAGCAUAACUGUCACCAUCCUGCUGAAACUUGAAAGCUCAAGUUAAGGCGAUGCAAUGAGGAAGCAUCUCAUGUAAAUCGAAUAAAACACAGAUGACAUGGACAUCCACACAGCUUUGAGUGGGCCGUGUGCACCAUGCUUCCUGCUUGCAAGAAUAAAAUUGUCACACAGCAUUGUAUAUUAUGCUCCAAAACUAAUGGUCAGGUAGAUUUUUUUUUUUUCACUGUUAGCCUGGCAUUAACAAGGAGACCAAGACACCAAAAAGUGGUACAAAUGUCAACCAACUCAACAAUCAAAACAGCUAAACCUAAUAUCCUUUAGAAGCACUCACACACUCAAGCAAUUUAAGAAUUUUGUGAGGAAAAGAAGAGUACAUUCUUUAGAUAAGAGAAGAGUUCCC
ensembl:lncRNA